AUUCAUUCUGGUUACAUUAAUGGGAUUAUUAGUAUGAGCCAAACAAAGCUAUAUCCUGAGACAGAGAAAGCAACUAGGCAUAGGCCUUGCUUUCAGUGAAGUCACAUAUACAAAGAGAGACAGAAAGCAAAAACCUUUGAUUACACUACAGAGUAAGAAGUGUUAGGCAAAUAGGCACAGGGUGCUCUGAGAAUUAAAAAGAAGAAACCAAGAGCUGAGGAACCUAAUCCCUUGUCUCCUUGUCAAGGAAGACUAAGAGGAACAGACAUUUGUUAUACCUGAGCUGGCUCUGUAAGGAUCAGUGAAGAAAGAAUUGGAAUGGUGGGAAAAUAUCUAGAUGCCUGUCAGUCUGCAAGAAGAUCAUCUUAGUGUCUCCAGAAACCACCGUCCUUAAGAUAUUUCUACUUGAGCAACAGGAAACAAUGCUUUCACUUCCAGUGGGAUCAUGGGCCGUAGUAAGGAUGUUGCUGAAGUUGUUUGUGGCAUUAUUUUCUGGUCAGUGAGAGCAGCUCUUCGCAGAAUGAAAAUAUCCUGAAGAAGCAAAGCUAGAAAAUUGAAAAACAAAGACUAGAGUUGAUUCCUUCCACUGGGUUCAUGGUCUCGCUGACUUCAAGAAUGGAGCCGCAGACCUUCAGGGCUGGAAAUUUCUGACCUGCUACCAACAUCAUCUCGGUUUCACCACUGUCAACUAUGAGUUAUUCUAUUAAUUGACUAGGCAGAAUCCUAGAAUUACAGCCUUUCAGGAGCAGGAGAGUAUUUAGAGAUCAUCUAUUUCAAGUUUUUCAUUAAAAAGCUGAAACAGUAGGAGAGGUGAAUAAAUUAAAAUGGAAAGUAAUCUGGUUGGCAAAAAAGAGAUUUUAUAAUAAUAACAUAAUACAAUAACCAGAGGAGCAACCAGAAGGGAGGCUUUGGAAAGGACUGAGAAUUCCACCAGAUAUAAUAGUUAUGAUGAGCCAAACAUACUUUGAGUUAGCAUAUGAAUUAUAUCACGUGGCUUCAAGAAUCACCCCUGUCAGGAGAAUUUUCACCUACUGCAUGAAAAGACAAUGUUCCAAGAAGUUUUGUUAGAAUAUUAUCUAGCCAGAACUACCUGGCCAUGGUGAGGCCAGUAGGAAUUUUAUUUAAAAUGUACAUUGCUGGGCCUCAGGCUCUGGAGACGUGCUUGGAAGCUAAGCUUUCAACAAACACUCCAGGAAAUUCUCCUGUACACUAGGGCUUAAGAAGCAGAGGACUGUGAUUUUGAAUUUAUAAACUAUUCAUAAUUUGUCCAGAACCAUGACUUCUGUUUUCUUUUCACUACAUAUUUUGUUUCAUAAUAGUUAGCAGUAAAAUAUAUUAUAUGUGUCUCUUGUUUAUAAGACUGCAUUCUAAAUUCUGCUGUUAUUCCUUAGGGGGGAAAAACUCAUAAAAACAAAACAGAGGAUGAAUAUUUUGAAAAAAGAAAAGAAUCCCCAAUAACCUAGGAGAAGGAAAGGAGAAGUGACUUGAUUACUGCCCAGGGCAGUGACUGAGAGGCCACGAUCAGCCGGUGAUACCCUCAGCCACUUCUUUGAGUAGUAGAAUAGAAUGAUUUGAACUAGAACAGAAACUUGUAGAUCAUCCUAUUUCCUUUCUUAUUUAUAUAGGGCUGGAAUUCCACAGCUUCUCUUGGGAACUUAAAACACAACUUUAUUUACCUUGUACUAUGUAGUUUCCUGCAAGAACUGAGUCUCAGUUAGGGACUCAAUGAGAAAGUCUGGAAAAAUAGGCUGGGCAUGGUGGCUCACACCUGUAAUCUCAGCACUUUGGGAGGCUGAGACAGGGGAUCACUAGGUCAGGAGUUCGAGGCCAGCCUGGCCAACAUGGCGAAAACCCAUCUCUACUAAAAAUACAAAAAUUAGCUCGGUGCAGUGGGAGGCGCCUAUAGUCCCAGCUACUCAGGAGGCUGAGGCAGGAGAAUCACUUGAGCCUGCGGGGAGGAGGUUGCAGUGAGCCAAGAUCGUGCCACUUCACUCCAGCCUGGGUGAAAGGGCAAGACUCCAUCUCAAAAAAAAAAAAAAAAAGUCUAGAAAAAUAAUAUCAGAACUGAGCAACAUGGUGAAUUCAAGUUAAAAUAGUUUUGUGAAUUUAGAAAAGCAUAUAAAAUUCUAUAAACCUUAAAACUCAUCACUGGUAAAAUUAAAGUGUUGAAUAAGAUGCUUUCUAGUUCUCAUGUUUGGGUGACUUGCUAUAUAAGGGAGUUGAAAUAAUCACUCUCUCCCAUCCAUCACGAUGAAAUCUCAAGAAGGAUAUGUUUUGUUAUCAAAGAGAAUAUGGGGUCCACCAGGACUCAAAAAUUGGCCAGCCAGAGGAAGAGAGUUUAUAAGAGAAGAAAGAAAAAUAUAAAUAGAACCACGUGAGGUCAGUUGCUGUCGUAUUUCUGAUCUUUCCUUGCUUGUCCCUUUGUGUGUCUUUCCCACCCCUUCUUCACUUCAGUGCAGCUGGUUUAGUAGGCCAGGGUCUGAAAGUGGCCCCUUUCUAAUGUGUCUCCUUUGAACUAAUCUGGGGAAAAGAAGCAAUGAUACUCAGGUUGGCUUCACACCUGACCUUGAGCUAAAAUGUCCUUGAUGUUUACACAUGGCUCAGCACACUAAAGUACGAGAACCAGGUUAGGAUUUGAGGGCAAUGAUCUUAGUUAGUGAUUAAAAACUGUUGUCUUUCUUGAACCUCUUCCACAUACAUAUCCAUAGGAACCCAUUCAAAAGGGAGACCUAAUGGUAUUUGAUUAAUAAGGAUACAUACAGUUAUCAUUUCUCUCAGGAUUAAUAGCUUCUGAGUGCAAUAUUCACUAUCAACAAAAUAGAGCUAACGUUCUCUUUAGAUUGUCUUGCAAACAAUUAAUUUGUUUCUAUUUCUGUUAAGUAAUUUCCUUUGGCUUAAACAAUUUGUCGCUAAAGAUAGCCAUUAUAAUUGAAAUAAAUUAUAAUCAGUCAGAAAACUUUUGUUCCAAUUUAGCACACAGACAGAAAGGGUUCCACAUUCAUGCAAGAAAAUCAGGUGGAAAACUCGUGAAUGAUAUGGUGUGGGCAUUUAAUACAAUGGAAAUCUCACCAAAGUGCUACUAAUUCCAUGUACUUUUCUUUAGAGACUUUUGCACUUAAUUAUAAUGAUUUCAUAAAUAUUAAUAGAACUUUCAAUACAUAAAAUAAUUUGUCCUUUUCAAAAAGGACGAGGUAAGCAGUAAGUAAAUCUAACAUAUCUUAAUGCACUAAAAUGUAUUACGUUUUCAGCAGUGUUUUCGUCAGAUAUCAGAAUUAGACUACAUUUUCAGAACUAUAUGAGAUAUGUUUCUGCAUAUUUAAGAAAAAUGAUGAACAUUCACACACUGAAAAGUCUGCUUAAAAGAAAAACUGCAUAAGCAAACAUAACUCUUUAAUUAAAUAAACUAGGACAUUAAAGUCUUCCAUUAAACCUAUAUCUUAAAAAGUUUUUCUAAGUCAAGUAUUUGUUUCACAUUAAGAACUACAUUAUGUCUGUGACCUCAGGGGAAAAAAAAAAGUUUUGUCAAAUAAUCAGAAGGUACAAGCUAUUUCAACACUCAAGAAUCUUCUAGACUUUUUUCUUUAAAUUCCCAAAUGCCAUAGUGUUGAAACAGACUCUUGUCCUUUGAUGAUGAACAAUACAGGAAGAAGAAAAAGAAGUUUUUUUUGUUUGUUUUCUGUUUUACCCAAACAGUCCAAAGCUUAAUGAUGUAAACCCAAUUUCAAUACCGGAUUAUAUAAAUAUAACACCUCAGGCCAUGAUAAUAACAAAUUUUCAGAAUGGUCAAUAGAGUGACACAUAGGUAACUCCAAUACUCUUUAUGAAAUGAGCACUUGCUACAGAAAUUGAAUCGAGCCUGUCAAGUAAAUGGCCUUUAUACAUAAGGAAGCUAGGGAGCUGUGGAAUAAAGUGAGUAACUAGAGAAAAAUUAUUACUAAUACAGACAGAGUCUUCAUUUUCUAAAAUACAGAGACCUACUAUUGUAAUAAAAAUGUAAUUUAAUUUAUAAAAAUUCAAUUUACAAAUGUAUUUUCCUGUGUAAUUUUCAGCAGUUUAUAGAUGUAUCUGUGACAGUGAAAAUGAUUAUUACAUGGAACCACCAUGCAACUCAGCAAUUGUACUGUUAGGUAUUUAUCCCAGAGAAUGAAGGCUUACAGUUACACAAAAACCUGUACACAAAUGUUCAUAGCAGUUUUACUCAUAAUAGCCCCAAACUGGAAAUGACACAAAUGUCCUUCAACAGGUGAAUUGUUAAAAAGAAAAAAAAAAAAACCUGUAGUAUAUCGAUACCAUAGGACACUACUCAGCAAUAAAAAUGAAAGAAUUAUUGAUACACAAUGAUAAGGAUGAAUCUUCAGAGAAAUAUGCAGACUGAAUAAAGCCAUUCCCAAAAGGUUACAUACUACAAGAUUAUAUUUAUAUAAUAUUUAUGAAAUAACAAAAUUGUAGAAAUAAGGAACAGAUUGGUGAUUUCCAGGGGUUAAGUUUAGGGAAGGAGUGAGCUGGAGGGAAAUGGGUGCAACCACAAAAGGUAAAUGAAGAAAUCAUUGUGGGGAUAAAAAUGUUCUGUAUCUUGACUGCAUCAAUUUCAGUUUCCUGAUUAUUAUAUUAUAGUUUUACAAAGUGUUAUCAUUGAGGUAAACUGACUAAAGCCUACAUAGGAUCUCUCUGUAUGAUUUCCUUACAACUGCAUGCGAAUCUAUAAUCAUCUCAAAAUAGAAAGUUUAACUCUAAAGAGGUGUUUAUAAUAAACUUUAAUUUUCAAUUUAGAAAUUCUUCUAUUUUCUACAUGAAAUCCCAAGGAGUUAGGUAUGUUUCAUAUAAUUUUAAAUUAAGAACAUGUAGAGUAUUAUCAUUAAAUACUAGUCAUUCAACUUUCAAAUGAACAGGUGCAUGGAAUUGUUACCAUGGAAUUAUACAUGCUAGUUGAGCUUCUGAUGUAUUUUUGUGUGGGGCCAAACAAAUGAUAAAGUUGUUCUAAUUACUGAGUAUUAGUAAAUAUUCUUUAAGUGGAAGCAUUUUAAGGCCAAAUAGUACUUUUCUAAAUGUCUCUCUAGUCCACACAAACUUCUCUAGAAUUGUUAUCACUGAAAGGCAUUUUUACUACUGCUACAUUGAAUGUGCCGCUAUAUCAAUAACUCUGUUCAGUGGGUGACAUUGCAAGCUUGGACAACAAUUGGGAAAUACUCUUGCCAGCAAAAGCAUGCAAACCAUUCCUCUUCUCCUUCCUGGUAGAGGACACUAAUUAGGCACAAUAUAAGUUGGCAGCUAAGAAAGAAUAGAACACAGAAACCAAGAUAUAUAAUUAUGAGACCCCAAAGACUCACUACAAGUCUCAGGUCCACACAAAUGGAUAAAAAUAAUUCUGAAGUGAGGGGUACAAAAUACAGACAUGAGGAGAGGAAGUAACCCUCUGAGCCAGGUCACUAUAACGUAAAAAUCAACAAAGGACAAUCUAGACCAAACCAGAGCAAAGCACAUCUUUCAAGAACUCUGGCUAACAAUGUAUUAUUAUCUUUGCUUAAUUAAGGCAAACUGAAAGUUUAUGUCCAACUCCCACAUAUAUCAUGUGCGGUUGUCUAUAAAUCAUGCAUAAAUUACUUAUAGAAAUUAAUUCUAUUCAAUUAAUACAUUAAUUGAAUAAAAUGUCUUAUUUCUAAAAUGAAGACUUUUUUCAAAACCCAAGUUCUUUGUAAUGCACUUUAUUCAGCAUAUGACCAUAAGCUCUACGGAGUUUCAAUUUUAAGAAUAAAAUGGAGAAAGUAAAGAACAUUAAAAGAUCAGUGACAGGCUACAAAACAAAAUAUUCUGCAUAGGACAUGGUCAAAGAAAGUAGGGUGCUGGCCUAGGGAAGGGUUAAAUCAGGGACUGGAGCUUUCAGACUUCAAAUAUCUGAAUGUCUCUCAGGUGCAGUGAAAACUGUUGAAUGGUCAUGAAGUUGGCUCAACACAAAGUUCAAAACCUUCCCAAUGAAGUAGCGGAGUUUCUUGGAAGAGUCUCACUCUGUUGUCCAGGCUGGAGAUGGG
rnacentral:lncRNA from 10 species